rnacentral:rRNA from 1 species
AGUGGCGAACGGGUGCGUAACGCGUAUGCAACCUACCUUCAUCAGGGGGAUAGCCCGGAGAAAUUCGGAUUAACACCGCAUAAAAACACAGUACGGCAUCGUACAAUGUUCAAAUAUUGAUAGGAUGAAGAUGGGCAUGCGUGUCAUUAGCUAGUUGGUAAGGUAACGGCUUACCAAGGCGACGAUGACUAGGGGAUCUGAGAGGAUGACCCCCCACACUGGUACUGAGACACGGACCAGACUCCUACGGGAGGCAGCAGUAAGGAAUAUUGGUCAAUGGAGGCAACUCUGAACCAGCCAUGCCGCGUGCAGGAAGACUGCCCUAUGGGUUGUAAACUGCUUUUAUACGGGAAUAAACCUAUCUACGAGUAGAUAGCUGAAUGUACUGUAAGAAUAAGGAUCGGCUAACUCCGUGCCAGCAGCCGCGGUAAUACGGAGGAUCCAAGCGUUAUCCGGAUUUAUUGGGUUUAAAGGGAGCGUAGGCGGCCGUUUAAGUCAGAGGUGAAAACUUGCAGCUCAACUGUAAGCUUGCCUUUGAUACUGAAUGGCUUGAAUGAACUUGAGGUAGGCGGAAUGUGACAAGUAGCGGUGAAAUGCAUAGAUAUGUCACAGAACACCAAUUGCGAAGGCAGCUUACUAAGGUUUAAUUGACGCUGAGGCUCGAAAGCGUGGGGAUCAAACAGGAUUAGAUACCCUGGUAGUCCACGCCCUAAACGAUGAUAACUCGAUGUUGGCGAUAUACAGUCAGCGUCCAAGCGAAAGCGUUAAGUUAUCCACCUGGGGAGUACGCCCGCAAGGGUGAAACUCAAAGGAAUUGACGGGGGCCCGCACAAGCGGAGGAGCAUGUGGUUUAAUUCGAUGAUACGCGAGGAACCUUACCCGGGCUUGAAAGUUAGUGAAUGAAUCAGAGAUGAUUCAGUGGUUUACCACACGAAACUAGGUGCUGCAUG